UCCCUGGUGGCUCAGAGGAUAAAGCAUCUGCCUGCAAUGCAGGAGACCCGGGUUUUGAUCCCUGGGUUGGGAA
rfam:TPA: Bos taurus chromosome 2, whole genome shotgun sequence.